CAGGAGCACCUGUGUAUCUCGAUGCUCGCGUGCUCUGGCCCACACGUGGCUGCAGACUUGACUCUCUGUGUCACAGGCUGAACCCAGCGAAGGAAAGGCCUCGUGUGCCCCAUAACAAUGUGGACACUUUCCUGCCCUGCGAUGGUUCAGCCCUUCUGCCAAGAUGCUGGGUCUUGCUUACAGAGAGACAGCAGCUUGGAGGAUGGAGAUAGUUGAAAUGAGAUGCCUUUGAACGUGAGCAGAAUAACCAGAAUACAGCACUUCAUAUGCGGUACAAGACUGAUUUUAUGGGCCCACAGCCCUGGAAGCUGAUUUCCACCAGGAGGGGCCACUGUGCCUUUCCCAUUAUUGCCUGAACUCUGGCACUGCUCCACAUCAUGGAGGAGAGGGACGGAUAAAGAAGGAUGGGCAGAGUGAAAUUCCACCCAAAACAGUUUCAUUCAGCCAUCCCCACAUUCUCCUAAAACCUCUCCCUGCCUCACUUCUGCUAAGCCCUGUUGGAGAACCAGAGCAGAGAUGACACAAUCCCAGUGGAGCACUUACUGAUGGUUGGCACCAAGAGAACACCCGGUGUGGGCAGUGGCUGGAGCUCAGCAUCCUAGCAAGGUGCUUUGUGGAAGGAAGGAACACCUGAGAUCUCUCAUCCCUGAGAAUAACUCCCUCUGCAUUAGCACCGCCGAACUUCUGAGGGAUUCCAGGCCACAUGUAAACUCUGGCUCUGCAAGGAUCAGCCUCACUGGAGCUCCUCCGUGUGACAUGUGAAGCUCCUGUGUCGCAACAGCCCCACUACCAGCUC